AUGAGGCCUCCGACCUCAACUCCUCCCCCGAUCCCAAUAAAGUUGGGGGAAUCGUGGUGGAUAUCUAAUAUUUUUUGCGACACCGGAUCAAUUGGCUGAGGAGGCGGACCGCCCCCGGUUUUGACACGUGUGUGCGCCACUAGGAAGAUAUAUCAGGGAGAAAAUGAGCAGUAUUCACUGACCGGCGUACAAAUGAUUUUAUCGACACCUAGCCAUCUUCAGCACAAACCAUCAAGGGCGAUGAGAUGGCUUGGAACAGCAGUGUGGUGGACAAGGGCUCGGUAAUGCAUUCCUUAGCAUGGGAUACGACCCUACACAGGGUAUUAUCGGCAUCCCUCUCUGUAUCCGGCACGGUCUUUAAUCUCACAGCUAUUGUUGUGAUAGUCAUCCGAAGACUCUACAAACAAAAUUCAUUUAUAUUCGUGUUGAAUUUCUUUGUUGGAAAUCUGUCGAUGUGUUCGCUGGCUCUACCUCUACAUUUCUCGCUUUCCUAUUCAUCACUGCAAAAGGCCGAUGUUACCUGUGUAGUCUCUGGAUAUGUCUACUUUAGUUUGGCUGGAAACUCGUUAUUGCAUAUUAUAUUAAUUUCCUUAAACAGAUAUUUACAAAUUGUGCGAUUCAAUCAUUACAAAAGAAUAUUCAGCACCCGGAAUACACGUAUUAUUUUGGUGUUCGCCUGGCUUUU